CUUUUGUCAUGUUAAUACAUCUAUACCAGGUGAUGUCCUGGCUUGGAAAGGAAGCUUAGCUUGUAUUUUUCCACUGGCGUGCAGUUUUCCCUUCUAUACUCCAAAUAAUGAAAAUCCUACCCUGCUGCACACGGGCUCGACAUCUUCAUGAAAACUCAUGAAAAAGAGCAUCUGAUGCCAUUUCUGUGCGUGCGAUAGCAGCAAAUAAUCAUAGCCCUUGUUGAGGAUGCAUUUCUUCUAACCCCCCCCCCCCACUUCACGACGGAGUUUCAACGCUGGAAGGCUCAAGCAGCUUGCAAGUGAAGGAAAGAGGAAAAGGCAGGAUCGGGGCAGGAUUGGCUUCUCAUGUGGAAAGGCUGAUGUGCACCAAACCCGGAAAACUAUAAACAGGACAUCCUGCGACCAGCAGCCCAUGAGAAAAUUCUGCUCCAUACAAUGCACAAAAAGUUAAGAGGUUUGAAUUGCCUUUUUGGAACCCUUCACCCAUGACCAGAAGAAGUAGGAGAAGUCACAAAGCAGGGAUGGAAGCUUCUCCAACGAAAGAAAGAGGAAACAAAAAAGGAACCAACAAGAUCCUCUCUAAUCACUAUAUCAUAACAUGGUAGAUUUUCAUGUACAGUGUUGUUCAUGCGUGAUUCUUUUAUUUCCCUGUCUCAGUGCCCAUUAAGACCAGAGAAGUAAUAGCUAUAAUCCCCCCAAGGCUGGAGGGAAUUCCAAUAGCCUGCUAAA